rnacentral:rRNA from 1 species
UACGUAGGGUGCGAGCGUUAAUCGGAAUUACUGGGCGUAAAGCGUGCGCAGGCGGUUGUGCAAGACAGAUGUGAAAUCCCCGGGCUCAACCUGGGAAUUGCAUUGUGACUGCACGGCUAGAGUGUGGUCAGAGGGGGGUAGAAUUCCACGUGUAGCAGUGAAAUGCGUAGAGAUGUGGAGGAAUACCGAUGGCGAAGGCAGCCCCUGGGAUAACACUGACGCCUCAUGCACGAAAGCGUGGGGAGCAAACAGG